UAGUUUGAUUAUCAUGUUUUAUACAGUCUAAGUCCAUUUUCUACAAAUUUCUCUUUUUAAAACCACAUUUUCUAUUAAGCAAUGCAACACAUUAUUCUUAUGCUUACAAGCAAUUGUGAACACAUCCGUGCAAACCGAAAGCAUUUAAACAGCAACAUGAAUUUCAUCGUGUAAAACAUUAUAACUAGGUUCAUGUUAUCCAACAUACUCAAAAUUCUUUCAAAAUUCACUA
rnacentral:lncRNA from 1 species